rnacentral:rRNA from 1 species
AUUGAACGCUGGCGGCAGGCCUAACACAUGCAAGUCGAGCGGAUGAAGGGAGCUUGCUCCUGGAUUCAGCGGCGGACGGGUGAGUAAUGCCUAGGAAUCUGCCUGGUAGUGGGGGAUAACGUCCGGAAACGGGCGCUAAUACCGCAUACGUCCUGAGGGUGAAAGUGGGGGGUCUUCGGACCUCACGCUAUCAGAUGAGCCUAGGUCGGAUUAGCUAGUUGGUGGGGUAAAGGCCUACCAAGGCGACGAUCCGUAACUGGUCUGAGUGGAUGAUCAGUCACACUGGAACUGAGACACGGUCCAGACUCCUACGGGAGGCAGCAGUGGGGAAUAUUGGACAAUGGGCGAAAGCCUUAUCCAGCCAUGCCGCGUGUGUGAAGAAGGUCUUCGGAUUGUAAAGCACGUUAAGUUGGGAGGAAGGGCAGUAAGUUAAUACCUUGCUGUUUUGACGUUACCAACAGAAUAAGCACCGGCUAACUUCGUG